CAAUAGCGUAUAUUAAAGUUGUUGCAGUUAAAAAGCUCGUAGUUGGAUUUCAGGUGGGAGCGAUCGGUCUGGCGCUUAGCGCGAGUACUUGCAUCGUCUCCGGCCAUCCUUGGGGAGAGUCUGUCUGGCAUUAGGUUGUCGGGCAGAGGAUCCUCAUCGUUUACUGUGAAAAAAUUAGAGUGUUCAAAGCAGGCUUAUGCCGUUGAAUAUAUUAGCAUGGAAUAAUAAGAUAGGACUUUGGUACUAUUUUGUUGGUUUGCGCACCAAAGUAAUGAUUAAUAGGGACAGUUGGGGGUAUUCGUAUUCCGUUGUCAGAGGUGAAAUUCUUGGAUUUACGGAAGACGAACUACUGCGAAAGCAUUUACCAAGGAUGUUUUCAUUAA
rnacentral:rRNA from 1 species